rnacentral:tRNA from 1 species
AGGCAGUUAGUCUAAUUUAAAACAUUUGAUUUCGGCUCAAAAAUUUGGGGUUAAAAUCCACAACUGCCUU